UCUCCGUUGGUGAACUAGCGGAGGGAUCAUUGCUGGAACAAACGCCCUCACGGGUGCUACACAGAAACCCUUUGUGAAUUAUACCUAAAACGUUGCCUCGGCAGUGGUGUCUCUUCCACGUCCGCGGGGAUGGGGGCAGCCUGCCGGUGGACCACACCAAAACUCUUGUUGUUACAGUGUCAUUCUGAAUUUAAAAACUUAAUCAGUUAAAACUUUCAACAACGGAUCUCUUGGUUCUGGCAUCGAUGAAGAACGCAGC
rnacentral:misc_RNA from 1 species